GAGAGAGGCUCAGAAGCAACGAAAACUGCUAAUAUUCGCCACCGAGGUUAAAUCCCCCGGCUCACUCG
rnacentral:tRNA from 2 species